rnacentral:rRNA from 1 species
AACGAACGCUGGCGGCAGGCUUAACACAUGCAAGUCGAGCGCCCCGCAAGGGGAGCGGCAGACGGGUGAGUAACGCGUGGGAAUCUACCCAUCUCUACGGAAUAACGCAUGGAAACGUGUGCUAAUACCGUAUACGUCCUUCGGGAGAAAGAUUUAUCGGAGAUGGAUGAGCCCGCGUUGGACUAGCUAGUUGGUGGGGUAAAGGCCUACCAAGGCGACGAUCCAUAGCUGGUCUGAGAGGUUGAUCAGCCACACUGGGACUGAGACACGGCCCAGACUCCUACGGGAGGCAGCAGUGGGGAAUAUUGGACAAUGGGCGCAAGCCUGAUCCAGCCAUGCCGCGUGAGUGAUGAAGGCCCUAGGGUUGUAAAGCUCUUUCACCGGUGAAGAUAAUGACGGUAACCGGAGAAGAAGCCCUGGCUAACUUCGUGCCAGCCGCCGCCGUAAAAC